rnacentral:misc_RNA from 1 species
GAUGAAGAACGCAGCGAAAUGCGAUACUUGGUGUGAAUUGCAGAAUCCCGUGAACCAUCGAGUCUUUGAACGCAAGUUGCGCCCGAAGCCAUUAGGCCGAGGGCACGCCUGCCUGGGCGUCACACGUCGUUGCCCCCCCAUCUACUCCUUCGGGAUUGCGGGGGGCGGAUGAUGGCCUCCCGUGCGCCUCGCCGCGCGGUUGGCAUAAAUGCCAAGUCCUCCGCGACGCACGCCACGACAAUCGGUGGUUGCGAAACCUCGGUUGCCCGUCGUGUGCGGUCGUCGCGCAUCGAGGGCUCGAAAAAAUUGCCGGGUUCCGGCUCGGCUUUCAACGCGACCCCAGGUCAGGCGGGGUUACCCGCUGAAUUUAAGCAUAUCAAUAAGCGGAGGA